rnacentral:tRNA from 2 species
CGGGAAGUAGCUCAGCUUGGUAGAGCACAUGGUUUGGGACCAUGGGGCCGCAGGUUCGAAUCCUGUCUUCCCGACCA